rnacentral:rRNA from 1 species
UACGUAGGGUGCGAGCGUUAAUCGGAAUUACUGGGCGUAAAGCGUGCGCAGGCGGUGGCUCAAGCCAGGCGUGAAAUCCCCGGGCUUAACCUGGGAAUGGCGUUUGGGACUGGGUCGCUAGAGUGUGGCAGAGGGAGGUGGAAUUCCACGUGUAGCAGUGAAAUGCGUAGAGAUCGGGAGGAACAUCUGUGGCGAAGGCGACUACCUGGACCAGCACUGACACUGAGGCACGAAAGCGUGGGGAGCAAACAGG